AGAACUUCCUUCUCGGACUCAAGGUUGGAGUCUUCCGUCAAUGACUUCUUCUCUAUUGCCUUUACUGUUGGACCAGCCUGGGUCAAGGCAACCCCCAGAACCAAGAUUGAAAAACAUACGGGAAUCAUCAGUAAUGUGAACCCGCCCCCAGCUCUCGAAGUAAUUUUGAAACUGGGUGCGUGAAUACCGUCCCACAUGCCAUCGCGGCCAGUGCUGAUCACGCGUUUCAUAACUGCUGCAUUGUUUCAGCAACUUUUUUGUUGUACACGAGCGAAUUCAUAUUUCAACUGAUAUUAUCUUGUAGAAAGAGAUGUAAGAUUAUUAAACAUUGUUACUGCUAUUCCAUUUGUUACAUUCGUUUGUAGAAAUUCUCAACACUACUUUAUACUACCAAUAAUAUAUGCGGUUCUAUUUAA